AUGAACGCUAGCGGCAGGCUUAACACAUGCAAGUCGAGGGGCAGCAUAAUGGAUAGCAAUAUCUAUGGUGGCGACCGGCGCACGGGUGCGUAACGCGUAUGCAACCUACCUUUAACAGGGGGAUAACACUGAGAAAUUGGUACUAAUACCCCAUAAUAUCAUAGAAGGCAUCUUUUAUGGUUGAAAAUUCCGAUGGUUAGAGAUGGGCAUGCGUUGUAUUAGCUAGUUGGUGGGGUAACGGCUCACCAAGGCGACGAUACAUAGGGGGACUGAGAGGUUAACCCCCCACACUGGUACUGAGACACGGACCAGACUCCUACGGGAGGCAGCAGUGAGGAAUAUUGGUCAAUGGACGCAAGUCUGAACCAGCCAUGCCGCGUGCAGGAUGACGGCUCUAUGAGUUGUAAACUGCUUUUGUACGAGGGUAAACGCAGAUACGUGUAUCUGUCUGAAAGUAUCGUACGAAUAAGGAUCGGCUAACUCCGUGCCAGCAGCCGCGGUAAUACGGAGGAUUCAAGCGUUAUCCGGAUUUAUUGGGUUUAAAGGGUGCGUAGGCGGUUUGAUAAGUUAGAGGUGAAAUUUCGGGGCUCAACCCUGAACGUGCCUCUAAUACUGUUGAGCUAGAGAGUAGUUGCGGUAGGCGGAAUGUAUGGUGUAGCGGUGAAAUGCUUAGAGAUCAUACAGAACACCGAUUGCGAAGGCAGCUUACCAAACUAUAUCUGACGUUGAGGCACGAAAGCGUGGGGAGCAAACAGGAUUAGAUACCCUGGUAGUCCACGCAGUAAACGAUGAUAACUCGUUGUCGGCGAUACACAGUCGGUGACUAAGCGAAAGCGAUAAGUUAUCCACCUGGGGAGUACGUUCGCAAGAAUGAAACUCAAAGGAAUUGACGGGGGCCCGCACAAGCAGUGGAGUAUGUGGUUUAAUUCGAAGCAACGCGAAGAACCUUACCAGGGCUUGACAUAUACAGGAAUACUUAAGAAAUUAGGUAGUCUUUCGAGACUUGUAUACAGGUGGUGCAUGGUUGUCGUCAGCUCGUGCCGUGAGGUGUCGGGUUAAGUCCCAUAACGAGCGCAACCCCUACCGUUAGUUGCCAUCAGGUCAAGCUGGGCACUCUGGCGGGACUGCCGGUGUAAGCCGAGAGGAAGGUGGGGAUGACGUCAAAUCAGCACGGCCCUUACGUCCGGGGCUACACACGUGUUACAAUGGUAGGUACAGAGGGCAGCUACCCAGCGAUGGGAUGCGAAUCUCGAAAGCCUAUCUCAGUUCGGAUUGGAGGCUGAAACCCGCCUCCAUGAAGUUGGAUUCGCUAGUAAUCGCGCAUCAGCCAUGGCGCGGUGAAUACGUUCCCGGGCCUUGUACACACCGCCCGUCAAGCCAUGGGAGCCGGGGGUGCCUGAAGUUCGUGACCGCAAGGAGCGACCUAGGGCAAAACUGGUGACUGGGGCU
rnacentral:rRNA from 1 species